GCUUAACGCGAAGAACCUUACCUGGCCUUGACAUCGCGAGACAGAUGCAGAGAUGUAUCCUUCCCUUCGGGGACUCGUAGACAGGUGCUGCAUGGCUGUCGUCAGCUCGUGUUGUGAAAUGUUCGGUUAAGUCCGACAACGAGCGCAACCCCUGUUCUCAGUUACCAGCAUUAAGUUGGGGACUCUGGGAAGACCGCCGGUGUUAAACCGGAGGAAGGCGGGGAUGACGUCAAGUCCUCAUGGCCCUUACGGCCAGGGCUACACGCGUACUACAAUGGUAGAAACAGACGGCUGCAAGACCGCAAGGUGGAGCUAAUACCGUAAAACACUAUCUCAGUCCGGAUUGAGGUCUGCAACUCGACCUCAUGAAGUUGGAAUCGCUAGUAAUCGCAGAUCAGCACGCUGCGGUGAAUUACCGGUUCCCGGGUCUUGUACACACCGGGGUCUUGUACACACCG
rnacentral:rRNA from 1 species